rnacentral:lncRNA from 1 species
CCCAUGUCUCAGAUGGCGAUUUUGCUGACAGCUGCAAGGCACAGUUGCUCUACCCGGCGGUCCUCACGUGCCCAGGUGGUCCUCAUGUGCCCAGGCGUUGUAGCCGGGCCCCACACCCGGCGGUCCUCACGUGCCCAGGCGUUGGGGCGGCCAGCUGCUCUGAGCUCGCACAGGUUUCCCACGUCUGCUGCCACCGGUGUUUCUGCACUUUAAGUGACCCCGUCACCCUGCGUUACUUCUUCCCUUAUUUUUAAUUUUAUAAAUUUAUUUUAUUUUUGACAGGCAGAGUGGACAGUGAGAGAGAGAGACAGAGAGAAAGGUCUUCCUUUUGACGUUGGUUCACCCUCCAAUGGCCGCCGCGGCCAGCGCGCUGCGGCCGGUGCACCGCGCUGAUCCGAUGGCAGGAGCCAGGUGCUUCUCCUGGUCUCCCAUGGGGUGCAGGGCCCAAGCACUUGGGCCAUCCUCCACUGCACUCCCAGGCCACAGCAGAGGGCUGGCCUGGAAGAGGGGCAACCGGGACAGAAUCCGGCGCCCCGACCGGGACUAGAACCCGGUGUGCUGGCGCCGCAGGCGGAGGAUUAGCCUAGUGAGCCGCGGUGCCG